rnacentral:tRNA from 1 species
GGAGAGGUGGCAGAGCGGUUGAAUGCACCGGUCUUGAAAACCGGCAACGAGGCAACUCGUUCGAGGGUUCGAAUCCCUCCCUCUCCGCCA